CACAUGGACGCAAGUCUGAUGGAGCAACGCCGCGUGAGUGAAGAAGGGUUUCGGCUCGUAAAGCUCUGUUGUUAAAGAAGAACGUGGGUAAGAGUAACUGUUUACCCAGUGACGGUAUUUAACCAGAAAGCCACGGCUAACUACGUGCCAGCAGCCGCGGUAAUACGUAGGUGGCAAGCGUUAUCCGGAUUUAUUGGGCGUAAAGCGAGCGCAGGCGGUCUUUUAAGUCUAAUGUGAAAGCCUUCGGCUCAACCGAAGAAGUGCAUUGGAAACUGGGAGACUUGAGUGCAGAAGAGGACAGUGGAACUCCAUGUGUAGCGGUGAAAUGCGUAGAUAUAUGGAAGAACACCAGUGGCGAAGGCGGCUGUCUGGUCUGCAACUGACGCUGAGGCUCGAAAGCAUGGGUAGCGAACAGGAUUAGAUACCCUGGUAGUCCAUGCCGUAAACGAUGAUUACUAAGUGUUGGAGGGUUUCCGCCCUUCAGUGCUGCAGCUAACGCAUUAAGUAAUCCGCCUGGGGAGUACGACCGCAAGGUUGAAACUCAAAAGAAUUGACGGGGGCCCGCACAAGCGGUGGAGCAUGUGGUUUAAUUCGAAGCUACGCGAAGAACCUUACCAGGUCUUGACAUCUUCUGACAGUCUAAGAGAUUAGAGGUUCCCUUCGGGGACAGAAUGACAGGUGGUGCAUGGUUGUCGUCAGCUCGUGUCGUGAGAUGUUGGGUUAAGUCCCGCAACGAGCGCAACCCUUAUUACUAGUUGCCAGCAUUAAGUUGGGCACUCUAGUGAGACUGCCGGUGACAAACCGGAGGAAGGUGGGGACGACGUCAAAUCAUCAUGCCCCUUAUGACCUGGGCUACACACGUGCUACAAUGGAUGGUACAACGAGUCGCGAGACCGCGAGGUUAAGCUAAUCUCUUAAAACCAUUCUCAAUUCCGACUGUAGGCUGC
rnacentral:rRNA from 1 species